UCGUACCCACAGAGACUUGCCGGUGAAUACGGUGGCGGCAAGGCAACCUUGUUGGAUGCCCAUAGCGAAUACGGAUAUAUAUAAAGGACAGCGUGAUGAAGUAAUAGCUAAUGUAGCCUGAACCCAAGCAGCGGCAAAUUUAAGCAAAUUCCAAUGAGCAACCCCUUAUGUUUAAUAUACGGAAUAUUAUGUUAUAAUAAUGACUUAAAAGAUAAUGCAGUUGAAGCCAUGCAGCGGCAAAUUUAAGCAAACUACAAUGAGCUACCCCUUAUGUUUAAUAUACGGAAUAUUAUGUUAUAAUAAUGACUUAAAAGUUACAAACCGCUUGGGAUUUGCAGAACAUGAUUGUAAUGAGAAUAAAUACAGCUACACAUGUUAUCGAUACCCAACUGGCAAAUGAUAAAACAUCAUAUUUUCAAAUGGCUGUUACAUCCCAAGGGUUUAUUUUCAAAUUCAACACACUACGUAUUUAAAGCAAAAUUUUAUAAGG